UGGUUUGGGUGGCGGCAAGGCCGCAGGAUCAUUGGGAUGCCGGUGUAACUGCUGUUUUAUGGGGAGGAGCGCCUAUAGUCAUUGCCCCGAGGAUUAAGCACAUCGUCGAACCUCAUUAACAUCGUGCCUCGGUGUCGUUCUUAUUUGCAUAUUUUCUUCUACGUUGAUUUUGCUUCCGCGUUCAUCGGUUAAUAGAUCUGUUUAGGUCUAGAACUAACCGUGCACUCUAACAUCUACUUUCUUGAACAUGUUCUGUACCAAAGUUUGGCUUCAAUUCUUAUUAAAAGAUGGGUUUUCUUCGACAGGUAAUAAAAAAUUAUAAUUGUUUUCACCGAACUUAUUCCUAAGCCCGCUUACAUUUUUAUUGCUUAGAGGUACAUCGAGCAGCCACGGAAUUAUCUUUCCA
rnacentral:lncRNA from 1 species